UUAAUAAAGCAAAAGUGGAACUUCUGAUCAAAGAGAUUUGCGUAAAGAAGUUGAGAAUGAGUUCGACUGGCUAUAAUAAGAUGUUUAAAGAAAAGCAAUGACUAUCAAGCAAUCCCACCAUGGUCAAUGAUUUUUUUUAAGCUGGAACCUCCAAGAUAGGAUAAACCGUUGGAUCGUUCGUGCCAUCAAAAAAUAUGUACUACCACAUAGAUUUCACGGAGUUUCGGACCUAAUCGGAGCAAUACGGUGAAGUUUAAGCAAGACCGGAGUUGGAUAGACAUUUCGAGUUAGUUUCAGAGCUGUUUCUGAGAUUUUUGCCUGAGGGAAGAUGGAAGGCACGAUGGAAGCAACGUGCCUCGCAUCGUGCCCCUAGUUUUAUUCAUGUUUGGUAAAAGGCGAGAUGGAAGGCACGAUGGUGGCAUCGUGCCUCGCAUCGUGCCUCUGUUUGGUUUUUUACUUGAAGAGGAGGCGAGAUGGAAGGCACGAUGGUAGCAUCGUGCCUCACAUCGUGCCUUAGGGAAAUUUAUGCCGAGAUUUUAAGGCACGAUGGAAUCAACGCGCCUCGCAACGCGCCUUCCAUCGUGCCUAAAUGCUGAGUUGUCCAAAUUACAUUUUGACCCCGAUCUUUCAUUCCGAUUCUAAAAUUAUGAAGGGGCGACUUCGGGACUUCACCAAAAUACGAAUCUAAGGCUGACAACGGGUAUAUAUAGUGGUGUUUACAACCAAAUUAGGGUUCGCUUGGUUCGACCCCCAUUGUAUUAGACUAAAAACAAUAGAUUAGCUUUAUUUCAGUAUUAGUUCAUCGUUCUUCGAUUUUUUUA